AAGGAGGAAGGGGCCCAGACUGGGGGGUUAACGAGGAAGGGGGUCAGAGGAGGGAAGAUGGGAGGAAGAUGGGAGGAAGAUGGAGCACCUGGACAGAAACCGAUGCUGCAGCCCAGAUGCAAUCCCAGGACCUCUUCGCCAGCCUGCUGCCUCCUGCCCUGUUAUUGAAGCAAGACGCGUCUGUCAUCCUAGACCGUAGAUCCGUCCCUUGAGGGCCCGCCCUCCAGUGGACGGCCGCAGGAUUGUCAGUGUCAUUCUGAGUGGUGAUGUCAUUUCCUGUCCCCCUCCCAGCGGACGGCGGCGCCCGCGGCCUGUCCUGGCGGUGCCAGCUGUGCCACAUCGCCUUCAGCGACAGGAAGACCAGAGAGCGGCACAUGAGCGCCAAGCACCCCCUCCUGCAGCCGCCCCCGCCCCGUCUCCCCGGCGACACUGCGCCCCGCCAUCGGCCCCCGAACACGGACCCCCACUAACAGCCAGAGGGGCGGGGGGUGGGGGAGUGUGUGUGUUUAUUUAUUUUAUUCGUUUUAUCGAUUUACAGCCCGACAUUCCCUCCCCCUUCCCUCCCCUCGCUGGAGGUGACCGGUGGUGUGGCGGAGCUGUCGGCAGCCGCUGGCUCUGGGGGCGGGACCGGACCCCCGGAGCACUGCGAUCCGACUGAGCCUUCACCCACCCCCUGCCACCGGACACCCCCCUCGUGCCCCUUUGCCCAGAUCCGGGAUCCUGUCAGCUUUGCGGAGUGAAAACUGGGCGUCUGUCUGUCCUGACACAGCUCUGUCCACUGUGCUUGUGUUGAUAAUAAAUGUCAUUAGUGGUCAGAUGAACGAGCCUGCUGUCUUUUUUGUGCAGUUUGUGUUAGCUGUGUCCUGCUCUGGCCCUUAUAGAGUCAGGAGACUCAUCUCCCUGCAGUCUGGAGCAGAGAGCUUUAAAGGAGCCCCAGUCUCACUGUGAUCUGUGUCAGUGUUACAGAUGGCUGAUGAGUACCCGACUAAAGCAUAACAUCAGCAUCCCAACUCUGGAAACUGAAAACCUAACAGUUCCAAAUCCAAAAUUCUAACCACAAUGUUUAUAGCUAUCGUGUUUUUUCGGUUGAUGUUGCACCCGUUGCCUGCAAGUGAGGCUACACCCCGCCACAAUCCUGGUGUUGGUGACGCGUUCGCUCCUGUAACCACGCCCCUUUCAGGCUACUCGACUUCAAGUCCCGGAAUGCUUUGCGAAACCAGGGCGCCUGUUUAUGACGUCAUUAUCUCGCCUGGCUGAUUCUUCUUGUCUUUGUUUUUCAACAUGCGACGCGGAGAGAGGAAGGCUCAAUCUGUUGCUACGUAGGUAUGACUUUCAUGCUGGUUUUUUUUUCAUAGAAAAAACGCAGAAAAAUUAUGAUUUGGGGCUGAAACAUGAGAG
rnacentral:lncRNA from 1 species